rnacentral:lncRNA from 1 species
GGGUGACGUGACCUGUAGAUACUGAGGAAGUGCUGGUGACAGGAAGAGGGGUGGUGUGACCUGAGGAUGAUGAGGAAGGGAUGGUGACAGGAAGAGGGGUGGCGUGACCUGUGGAUACUGAGGAAGCGUCGGUGACAUGAAGAGGGGUGGUGUCACCUGUGGAUGCUGAGUUAGUGUCGGUGACAGGAAGAGGGGUGGUGUGACCUGAAGAUGCUGAGGAAGGGAUGGUGACAGGAAGAGAGGUGGUGUCACCUGUGGAU